rnacentral:rRNA from 1 species
AUGCAGUUCGAACGCGAAAUUUCCCUUCGGGGAGAAAGUAGAGUGGCGCACGGCCNGUUUUAACACGAUGGGUAAUUUACCUUCGGGUGGGGAAUAACAGCUCGGAAACGACUGCUAAUACCGCAUGAUGCAGCGGCACCACAUGGUGACAGUUGUUAAAGCGGGGGAUUCGCAAGAACCUCGCGCCUGAAGAGAAGCCCGCGGCAGAUUAGCUAGUUGGUAAGGUAAUGGCUUACCAAGGCAACGAUCUGUAGCCGGCCUGAGAGGGCGGUCGGCCACACUGACACUGAAUAACGGGUCAGACUCCUACGGGAGGCAGCAGUCGGGAAUUUUGGGCAAUGGGCGAAAGCCUGACCCAGCAACGCCGCGUGAAGGAUGAAGUAUUUCGGUAUGUAAACUUCACAAGAAUGGGAAGAAUAAGUGGGGGACAAUACCCCCCAUGAUGACGGUACCAUUUGUAAGCUCCGGCUAACUCCGUGCCAGCAGCCGCGGUAAUACGGGGGGAGCAAGCGUUGUUCGGAUUUACUGGGCGUAAAGGGCGCGUAGGCGGCGCAACAAGUCAGUUGUGAAAUCUCUGAGCUUAACUCAGAGCGGUCAACUGAUACUGUCGUGCUAGAGUGCAGAAGGGGCAACUGGAAUUCUCGGUGUAGCGGUGAAAUGCGUUAGAUAUCGAGAGGAACACCUGCGGCGAAGGCGGGUUGCUGGGCUGACACUGACGCUGANGCGCGAAAAGCUAGGGGAGCGAACGGGAUUAGAUACCCCGGGUAGUCCUAGCCUUAAACGAUGGAUGCNUUGGUGUCC